GCUGGUUUUCCAGCCUCGCAGAAAGUGUUUGCCCCCUGGCCACUUGAAUUUCUGUUUCAGGUUAAGAACAAAAAGAUGCACCUGGACUUUCCUCGGAGCUCUCUGCAUUGUUAAGCUUCAGGUGGAAUUUGAGGGCUUUGAGCUGUAAGCCUUGCUACUUAAUAGAAAUCUGUCCUGCUCAACUCCAUGGACAAUUUGUUACCUACGGGAAGUGUCUCCCACUGAAGGCAUCCAAAGUUCUUUAAGCCUCCAAAAAAAAAAAAAAAAAAAUCAGUGCCCUAACAAGUGUCCAUGAUGCUGGGCCCCGAGGGAGGUGAAGGUUUUGUGGUCAAGCUCUGUGGCCUACCCUGGUCCUGCUCUAUUGAGGACGUGCAGAACUUCCUUUCCAACUGCACAAUUCGUGAUGGGACCGCAGAUGUCUACUUCAUCUACACUAGAGAGGGCAGGCAGAGUGGUGAGGCUUUUGUUGAACAUGAGAAGAUGAUGUAAAAAUAGCCCUGAAAAAAGACAGGGAAAGCAUGAGACACCAGUACAUCGAGGUGUUCAAGUCCACAGAACCGAGAUGGAUUGGGUGUUGAAGCACAGCAGUCCCAAGAGUGCUGACAGCGCCAACGAUGGCUUCGUUGGGCUUUGAGGACUCCCAUUUGGAUGCACAAAGGAAGAAAUUGUCCAAUUCUUCUCAGGGUUGGAAAUCGUGCCAAAUGGGAUCACAUUACCUGUGGACCCCAAGGGCAAGAAAACAGGGGAAGCUUUUGUGCAGUCUGCCUCCCAGGAGUUAGCUGAGAAGGCUCUGGGGAAGCACAAGGAGGAUAGGGCACAGGUUCAAGAAGUGUUCAAGAGCAGUUAGGAGGAAGUUAGGUCAUACUCUGAUCCCCCUCUAAAGUUCAUGUCUGUGCAGUGGCAAAGGCCCUAUGACUGCCCUGGCACAGCUAGGAGAUAUAUCGGCAUCGUGAAGCAAGCCAGCCUGGAUAGGAUGCAGCCUGGCGCCUACAGUGCAGGCUACAGUGGCUAUGAAGAGUACAGCGGCCUCAGCGAUGGCUACGGCUUCACCACUGACCUAUUUGGGAGAGACCCCAGCUACAUACAUCUGGGAUGUAUGACCACAGAUAUGGAGAUGGUGAGUUUGCAGUGCAGAGCACCACUGGGCACUGCACCACAUGAGGGGGCUGCCAUACAAAGAGACUGAGAAUGACAUUUACAACUUCUUCUCUCCACUCAACCCUGUGAGAGUGCAUAUCGAGAUUGGCCCAGAUGGAAGAGUGACUCACAAAGCAGAUGUAGAGUUUGCCACUCACGAAGAGGCUGUAGUGGCAAUGUCCAAAGACAGGGCUAAUAUGCAGCACAGAUACAUAGAGCUCUUCUUGAAUUCAACAACAGGGGCCAGCAGUGGGGCAUACAGCAGCCAGGUGAUGCAAGGCAUGGGGGUGUCAGCAGCCCAGGCUACCUACAGUGGGCUGGAGAGCCAGUCUGUCAGCAGCUGCUACGGGGCUGGCUACAGCGGGCAGAACAGCAUGGGUGGGUAUGACUAGUUUUGUAGGAACAUUUAAGUUUUUUCAAUCAAAUUUUCACAGGCAGCCAACAAGCAAUGAAGAGCAGUUAUAACUCUAGAGGAAGCUGUGGGGACCCAUUUUGCACCAUGAGUUUGUGAAAUCUGGAUUAAAAAAAUUACCUCUUCA